rnacentral:rRNA from 1 species
UACGGGGGGGGCAAGCGUUGUUCGGAAUUACUGGGCGUAAAGGGCUCGUAGGCGGCCAACUAGGUCAGACGUGAAAUCCCUCGGCUUAACCGGGGAACUGCGUCUGAUACUGGAUGGCUAGAGUGUGGGAGAGGGAUGCGGAAUUCCAGGUGUAGCGGUGAAAUGCGUAGAUAUCUGGAGGAACACCGGUGGCGAAGGCGGCAUCCUGGACCACGACUGACGCUGAGUGAGCGAAAGCCAGGGGAGCAAACGGG